rnacentral:lncRNA from 1 species
UGGCCGCAUGCGUCCAUAGCUCCACAUAGAUUUUGUUGCUUGUGAACAUUUCAUCCCAUCCAUCAAACCGUGGUCUUACAUCCCGAUGUCUGGGGGUCCCACAUCGCCGGCACCAAGUACUUGCGCCCAUUUAUCCCGUGAGCGUUGUAGCUCGCUCCACUUACCUUAUCCACCAAGACCCGACCCGGAUAUCCCGGAUAAGAACCUGACCCAAACACACCCGUACAUGCCGUGGCCGCCUCAAUCGGCGCCGUUGGCGGGCCUUG